GAUGAACGCUGGCGGCGUGCCUAAUACAUGCAAGUCGAGCGAACAGACGAGGAGCUUGCUCCUCUGACGUUAGCGGCGGACGGGUGAGUAACACGUGGAUAACCUACCUAUAAGACUGGGAUAACUUCGGGAAACCGGAGCUAAUACCGGAUAAUAUAUUGAACCGCAUGGUUCAAUAGUGAAAGACGGUUUUGCUGUCUCUUAUAGAUGGAUCCGCGCCGCAUUAGCUAGUUGGUAAGGUAACGGCUUACCAAGGCAACGAUGCGUAGCCGACCUGAGAGGGUGAUCGGCCACACUGGAACUGAGACACGGUCCAGACUCCUACGGGAGGCAGCAGUAGGGAAUCUUCCGCAAUGGGCGAAAGCUUGACGGAGCAACGCCGCGUGAGUGAUGAAGGUCUUCGGAUCGUAAAACUCUGUUAUUAGGGAAGAACAAAUGUGUAAGUAACUAUGCACGUCUUGACGGUACCUAAUCAGAAAGCCACGGCUAACUACGUG
rnacentral:rRNA from 1 species